UACGUAGGGACCAAGCGUUGUUCGGAUUUACUGGGCGUAAAGGGCGCGUAGGCGGUCGUGACAAGUCACUUGUGGAAAUCUCCGGGCUUAACUCGGAACGGUCAAGUGAUACUGUCGGACUAGAGUACAGAAGGGGCAACUGGAAUUCUCGGUGUAGCGGUGAAAUGCGUAGAUAUCGAGAGGAACACCUGCGGCGAAGGCGGGUUGCUGGGCUGAUACUGACGCUGAGGCGCGAAAGCCCAGGGGAGCGAACGGG
rnacentral:rRNA from 1 species